rnacentral:snoRNA from 1 species
GUUUGAUGAACACUUAGAUGACGAGUCUGAGCUUGCUGUGUGAGGUUUCCUCGCAUCAGCUGUUGUGACGAGUCUUUUCCAAUUUACCAUUCAUGCAUAUCUGAUU